GACAUUGGACACACCCUGAUAAUCCAGAAUAAUCCCCCCAACUCUAGGUCAGCUAUUAGCAACCUUAAUUCCAUCUGCAACCUUAAUUCCCCUUGCCAUGUGGCCUGACAAAUUCACAAGUUCCAGCAAUUUGGACAUGGACAUCUUUCAGGUGCCACUAUUCUGUCUAUCAUAUGCCCCUCGUCCCAAAGGGUAUAUAUUAGGUUGUUCUGACAUUGCUAUAAAGAAAUACUUGGCCAGGGCCGGGUGUUCCCUUUGAAAGGUGGU
rnacentral:lncRNA from 10 species